ACCGCGCUGAAAGCGGCGAUUCCUUUGGAGAAACAAAACUCCUAAAAUUCAUGCGGUUCCUAGCACCCAGCAGCUGCGCGCUCCGUUAUUCGAGGCUGCCUGUGGAGGAGUUGGGGAGCAGAGGUAUUUCGGCCUCCUCCCCUUUGCAGUUCACCUCCUGCUGCUUGUUGCUUCCCUGAAAGCCCGUUAAGGUUUCAGUUGACUUUGGAUGCACAGAAAUACAUCAUUAGUUUAUUAAAGAAGGAAAUGGAAUGCUGCCUUUUCCAGUAAAUCACACUUUCUUCCUUGCUGCGGGUCGAAAUCAAGUGCGGAUUGCCACCAGAUUAUGACAGGAACAUCAGCAACAAUAACAGGAUACUCCGUAAAACUGAGCUGACUCCCAUGGUUAGAGCAUUUACAAAGGAACUACAUCAGCUGCAGUAUACAAGUCAUCCUCAGACAAAUUUCUGUCUGCUUUCU